GAUGAACGCUGGCGGCGUGCCUAAUACAUGCAAGUCGAGCGAACAGAUGAGGAGCUUGCUCCUCUGACGUUAGCGGCGGACGGGUGAGUAACACGUGGAUAACCUACCUAUAAGACUGGGAUAACUUCGGGAAACCGGAGCUAAUACCGGAUAAUAUAUUGAACCGCAUGGUUCAAUAGUGAAAGACGGUUUUGCUGUCACUUAUAGAUGGAUCCGCGCCGCAUUAGCUAGUUGGUAAGGUAACGGCUUACCAAGGCAACGAUGCGUAGCCGACCUGAGAGGGUGAUCGGCCACACUGGAACUGAGACACGGUCCAGACUCCUACGGGAGGCAGCAGUAGGGAAUCUUCCGCAAUGGGCGAAAGCCUGACGGUGCAACGCCGCGUGAGUGAUGAAGGUCUUCGGAUCGUAAAACUCUGUUAUUAGGGAAGAACAAAUGUGUAAGUAACUAUGCACGUCUUGACGGUACCUAAUCAGAAAGCCACGGCUAACUACGUG
rnacentral:rRNA from 1 species